AGGAAGCUGGGAGCAGAAAAGGAGGGAGGGCUCGAUGCUGUUAGAGAGAUCGAAUCUCGAUAGAGGGAUCUCGAUGGAGAGGGAGAGUGGAGACUGAGAGAUAGAAAGAAGGAGAGAGGGAGACAGAGAGACAGAGAGAGGGAGAGGAUCUUCUCUCAGAGUGGAUCUCCUCUAUCCACAACCUUGGUGUCAGAGUUUGGCCACCGACGAGCGAAUCUCAUGGUGGAGAGGGAGAGGCAAAGCACCCAGAGUGGGAGAGGAGGGGAGGGAGAGGCACCAUUAGGAGAUUAAGAGAC
rnacentral:lncRNA from 1 species